GACGAACGCUGGCGGCGUGCUUAACACAUGCAAGUCGAACGAAGUGGCGAACGGGUGAGUAACGCGUAAUCAACCUGCCCUUCAGAGGGGGACACCAGUUGGAAACGACUCCUAAUACCGCAUACGGAAGGAGGGGCAUGCGUCUGAUGUGCUAGUUGGUGGGGUAACGGCCCACCAAGGCGAUGAUCAGUAGCCGGUCUGAGAGGAUGAACGGUCAAAUUGGGACUGAGACAAGGCCCAGACUCCUACGGGAGGCAGCAGUGGGGGAUCUUCCGCAAUGGACGAAAGUCUGACGAAGCAACGCCGCGUGAGUGAUGACGGCCUUCGGGUUGGAAAGCUCUGUUAAUCGGGACGCGGUACCGGAAUAGAAAGCCACGGCUAACUACGUGCCAGCAGCCGCGGUAAUAC
rnacentral:rRNA from 1 species